rnacentral:tRNA from 1 species
GCCUGGGUGGCUCAGUCGGUUGAGCGUCUGACUUCGGCUCAGGUCAUGAUCUCACAGUUUGUGGGUUCAGGCCCCACAUCAGGCU